AGAGCGAACGCUGGCGGCAGGCCUAAUACAUGCAAGUCGAACGCACCUUCGGGUGAGUGGCGGACGGGUGAGUAACACGUGGGAACGUGCCUUUGGUUCGGAAUAAUCCGGGGAAACCUGGCCUAAUACCGGAUGUGCCCUUCGGGGGAAAGAUUUAUCGCCAUUAGAGCGGCCCGCGUCUGAUUAGCUUGUUGGUGGGGUAAUGGCCCACCAAGGCUACGAUCAGUAGCUGGUCUGAGAGGAUGAUCAGCCACACUGGGACUGAGACACGGCCCAGACUCCUACGGAAGGCAGCAGUAGGGAAUCUUGCGCAAUGGGCGAAAGCCUGACGCAGCCAUGCCGCGUGAAUGAUGAAGGUCUUAGGAUUGUAAAAUUCUUUCAGCGGGGAAGAUAAUGACUGUACCCGCAGAAGAAGCUCCGGCUAACUUCGUGCCAGCAGCCGC
rnacentral:rRNA from 1 species